GACGCUGGCGGCAUGCCUUACACAUGCAAGUCGAACGGCAGCGACGGGAGCAAUCCUGGUGGCGAGUGGCGAACGGGUGAGUAAUAUAUCGGAACGUGCCCAGUCGUGGGGGAUAACGUAGCGAAAGCUACGCUAAUACCGCAUACGAUCUAUGGAUGAAAGCGGGGGAUCGCAAGACCUCGCGCGAUUGGAGCGGCCGAUAUCAGAUUAGGUAGUUGGUGAGGUAAAAGGCUCACCAAGCCGACGAUCUGUAGCUGGUCUGAGAGGACGACCAGCCACACUGGGACUGAGACACGGCCCAGACUCCUACGGGAGGCAGCAGUGGGGAAUUUUGGACAAUGGGCGCAAGCCUGAUCCAGCAAUGCCGCGUGCAGGAUGAAGGCCUUCGGGUUGUAAACUGCUUUUGUACGGAACGAAACGGUGAGCUCUAAUACAGUUUGCUAAUGACGGUACCGUAAGAAUAAGCACCGGCUAACUACGUG
rnacentral:rRNA from 1 species